rnacentral:rRNA from 1 species
UAUUCUAAAAACAUUUUCCAAUACUUUUACUUUGUUUCGACUUAUUUCAAAUUUUAUUGAAAUUGACGGGCAAUUUGUACAUUAUAUAAAUAAAAUUCAAAUUAUUAUAUUUAAUAAUUUUACUUUUAAAUCCUAUUUAUUUUAAAUAUUUAAAAUUUAAAAUUUAUUAAAUUAAUAAUUUAAUGUAACUCAUAUUAAUCUAAUAAAUACUUUAUUUUGAUUUGAAUUUUUUUUAAAUUUAUAAAAUUUUAAUUCUAAUAUUUAUAUAAAAUUUUUAAACAACAAUAUAAAAAUAAUUUUAAUUUAAAUUUUAUUAGUAAUUCUUAUUGUGGAAUAACAAAUUAAUAUACAAGUUCCCCUAAAAUUUUAUAUAACCGCCAUAUUUUAUAAUUUUAAUGUUUUAACAUUUAAUAAUUAAAUUUAUUUUUUUAAUUAAUAUAAUAGGGUAUCUAAUCCUAGUUU